rnacentral:rRNA from 1 species
GCGUCCUAUUAGCUAGUUGGUAGGGUAACGGCCUACCAAGGCUACGAUAGGUAGGGGAUGUGAGAGCAUGGUCCCCCACACGGGCACUGAGACACGGGCCCGACUCCUACGGGAGGCAGCAGUAAGGAAUAUUGGUCAAUGGAGGGAACUCUGAACCAGCCAUGCCGCGUGCAGGAAGAAGGUCCUCUGGAUUGUAAACUGCUUUUAGCAGAGAAGAAAAGCAUCCUUUUAAGGGUGUCUGACGGUAUCUGCGGAAUAAGCACCGGCUAACUCCGUG